rnacentral:rRNA from 1 species
AACGAACGCUGGCGGCAUGCCUAACACAUGCAAGUCGAACGAGACCUUCGGGUCUAGUGGCGCACGGGUGCGUAACGCGUGGGAACCUGCCCUUAGGUUCGGAAUAACUCCCCGAAAGGGGUGCUAAUACCGGAUAAUGUCUUCGGACCAAAGAUUUAUCGCCUUUGGAUGGUCCCGCGUUGGAUUAGCUAGUUGGUAGGGUAAAAGCCUACCAAGGCGAGGAUCCAUAGCUGGUCUGAGAGGAUGAUCAGCCACACUGGGACUGAGACACGGCCCAGACUCCUACGGGAGGCAGCAGUGGGGAAUAUUGGACAAUGGGCGAAAGCCUGAUCCAGCAAUGCCGCGUGAGUGAUGAAGGCCUUAGGGAUGUAAAGCGCUUUUACCUGGGAUGAUAAUGACAGUACCGGGAGAAUAAGCUCCGGCUAACUCCGUG